rnacentral:rRNA from 1 species
GACGAACGCUGGCGGCGUGCUUAACACAUGCAAGUCGAACGGAAAGGCCCUGCUUUUGUGGGGUGCUCGAGUGGCGAACGGGUGAGUAACACGUGAGUAACCUGCCCUUGACUUUGGGAUAACUUCAGGAAACUGGGGCUAAUACCGGAUAGGAGCUCCUGCUGCAUGGUGGGGGUUGGAAAGUUUCGGCGGUUGGGGAUGGACUCGCGGCUUAUCAGCUUGUUGGUGGGGUAGUGGCUUACCAAGGCUUUGACGGGUAGCCGGCCUGAGAGGGUGACCGGCCACAUUGGGACUGAGAUACGGCCCAGACUCCUACGGGAGGCAGCAGUGGGGAAUAUUGCACAAUGGGCGGAAGCCUGAUGCAGCAACGCCGCGUGCGGGAUGACGGCCUUCGGGUUGUAAACCGCUUUCGCCUGUGACGAAGCGUGAGUGACGGUAAUGGGUAAAGAAGCACCGGCUAACUACGUGCCAGCAGCCGCGGUGAUACGUAGGGUGCGAGCGUUGUCCGGAUUUAUUGGGCGUAAAGGGCUCGUAGGUGGUUGAUCGCGUCGGAAGUGUAAUCUUGGGGCUUAACCCUGAGCGUGCUUUCGAUACGGGUUGACUUGAGGAAGGUAGGGGAGAAUGGAAUUCCUGGUGGAGCGGUGGAAUGCGCAGAUAUCAGGAGGAACACCAGUGGCGAAGGCGGUUCUCUGGGCCUUUCCUGACGCUGAGGAGCGAAAGCGUGGGGAGCGAACAGGCUUAGAUACCCUGGUAGUCCACGCUGUAAACGGUGGGUACUAGGUGUGGGGUCCAUUCCACGGGUUCCGUGCCGUAGCUAACGCUUUAAGUACCCCGCCUGGGGAGUACGGCCGCAAGGCUAAAACUCAAAGGAAUUGACGGGGCCCCGCACAAGCGGCGGAGCAUGCGGAUUAAUUCGAUGCAACGCGUAGAACCUUACCUGGGUUUGACAUGGAUCGGGAAGUGCUCAGAGAUGGGUGUGCCUCUUUUGGGGUCGGUUCACAGGUGGUGCAUGGCUGUCGUCAGCUCGUGUCGUGAGAUGUUGGGUUAAGUCCCGCAACGAGCGCAACCCUUGUUCACUGUUGCCAGCACGUUAUGGUGGGGACUCAGUGGAGACCGCCGGGGUCAACUCGGAGGAAGGUGGGGAUGACGUCAAGUCAUCAUGCCCCUUAUGUCCAGGGCUUCACGCAUGCUACAAUGGCUGGUACAGAGAGUGGCGAGCCUGUGAGGGUGAGCGAAUCUCGGAAAGCCGGUCUCAGUUCGGAUUGGGGUCUGCAACUCGACCUCAUGAAGUCGGAGUCGCUAGUAAUCGCAGAUCAGCAACGCUGCGGUGAAUACGUUCCCGGGGCUUGUACACACCGCCCGUCAAGUCAUGAAAGUUGGUAACACCCGAAGCCGGUGGCCUAACCGUUGUGGGGGAGCCGUCGAAGGUGGGACUGGUGAUUAGGACUAAGUCGUAACAAGGUAGCCGUACCGGAAGGUGC